AUUGAACGCUGGCGGCAGGCCUAACACAUGCAAGUCGGUCGAUCGGCGGACGGGUGAGUAAUGUCUGGGGAUCUGCCUGAUGGCGGGGGAUAACUACUGGAAACGGUAGCUAAUACCGCAUACCAUCAGAUGAACCCAUAUGGGAUUAGCUCGUCGGUAAGGUAACGGCUUACCUAGGCGACGAUCCCUAGCUGGUCUGAGAGGAGGAACAGCCACACUGGGACGGAGACACGGCCCAGCCUCCUACGGGAGGCAGCAGUGGGGAAUAUUGCACAAUGGGCGCAAGCCGGAUGCAGACAUGCCGCGGGUAUGAAGAAGGCCUUCGGGUUGUAAAGUACUUUCAGUCGGGAGGCGUUACCGACAGAAGAAGAACCGGCUAACUCCGUGCCAGCAGCCGCGGUAAUAC
rnacentral:rRNA from 1 species